AGCAGCCGCGGUAAUUCCAGCUCCAAUAGCGUAUAUUAAAGUUGUUGCAGUUAAAAAGCUCGUAGUUGAAUUUCGAGAUCAAAUUGUUGGUCGUGCCUCGGUACGUACUGGCAUUAUUGAUUUCUCCUUUCUGAAGAACCUUGAUGUCAUUAAUUUGGUGUCUUGGGGAAUCAGGACCGUUACUUUGAAAAAAUUAGAGUGUUUAAAGCAGGCUCACGCUUGAAUACAUUAGCAUGGAAUAAUGAAAUAGGACGUUUGAUUCUAUUUUGUUGGUUUCUAGGAUCGACGUAAUGAUUAAUAGGGAUAGUUGGGGGCAUUAGUAUUCAAUUGUCAGAGGUGAAAUUCUUGGAUUUAUUGGAGACUAACUACUGCGAAAGCAUUUGCCAAGGAUGUUUUCAUUAAUCAAGAACGAAAGUUAGGGGAUCGAAGACGAUCAGAUACCGUCGUAGUCUUAACCAUAAACUAUGCCGACUAGGGAUCGGAUGAUGUUAAUUUUUAAUGACUCAUUCGGCGCCUUAAC
rnacentral:rRNA from 1 species